UACGGAGGAUGCAAGCGUUAUCCGGAAUUAUUGGGCGUAAAGCGUCCGCAGGUGGCGAUGUAAGUCUGCUGUUAAAGAGUCUAGCUCAACUAGAUAAGAGCAGUGGAAACUACAUAGCUAGAGUACGUUCGGGGCAGAGGGAAUUCCUGGUGUAGCGGUGAAAUGCGUAGAGAUCAGGAAGAACACCAGUGGCGAAGGCGACUGUCUGGGGUUUUGCUGACGCUGAGGCACGAAAGCCAGGGGAGCGAACGGG
rnacentral:rRNA from 1 species